AAUAUUGGACGAUGGGAGCAACCCUGAACCAGCCCUGCCGCGUGUGUGAAGAAGGUCUUCGGAUUGUCCAGCACUUUACGUUGGGUGGUAGGGCUUUCGGUUCAUACCCUGAAGUUAUGUCGUUACCAACAGAAUACGCACUGGCUCACUCUGUCCCAGCAGCCGCGGUAAUACAGAGGGUGCAAGCGUUAAUCGGAAUUAAUGGGCGUAAAGCGCGCGUAGGUGGUUCAGUAAGAUAGGUGUGAAAUCCCCGGGCUUAACCGGGGAACUGCUUUCAUAACUGCUGAGCUAGAGUACGGUAGAGGGUAGUGGAAUUUCCUGUGUAGCGGUGAAAUGCGUAGAUAUAGGAAGGAACACCAGUGGCGAAGGCGACUACCUGGACUGAUACUGACACUGAGGUGCGAAAGCGUGGGGAGCAAACA
rnacentral:rRNA from 1 species